CGCUACUGCGAAUACGUCGUUUGUACGUUGUGUCGUAAACAUGGACCCCUUGCGUCAAUUGUAUAACUUGUGUUACAUUACUAAUUGUAUAACAAAGUAAUCGAAUUGCUUGUUUUUGAAGCAAUCGUGUGUAAAUUUUAAGACAUCGAUUAAUUUAUUGUGGAAAGUGUAGGUUGGAGAAAUCGAAGUAAUCGCGAAAGUGUGUUACUGAAUCUAGUGGUUCGAGAAAAUACGUGUUCGAAGUUGUACGAGCAUAAUCAUGUUAGCUGAUCGACCGGCUGAUAUGUAUUCAUUGGGAUAAUUCAUUGUCAAGCAAUUCGUGUGUGCAAUAAGCGUCCAUAACAUCGGAGUUUGUCAAAGUCCGAAAUACGGAAAGCCAGUCAGAUCGAUGGAUGGUUCGUGAAAGUCAGGUUGGAUGGUGAAUCUUCUCGAUGAUGGAACGACGUCGUGACAAAUAUUUUGGAUGGAAUAACACACUGUCGACUUCAGUUUUGCUUGACGAGCCGAGUUUCAUUUAAGAGGAUAGCAGUUUCCAUCCAUUCUUCACCGAUUACUAGCUCGACUGCUUCUCAAGGAGAGGGUGAAUUAAGCUUGAAAGAUGACGUUGGGACGCUCGUCGGAUAUUUUCCUUUACGAUCAAAUUCCACGAAUUCGUCGACGGUUCAGCAGCCUGUGCAUGGUCUUAUCGCUGUUUAUGACAUCGAACAUAACGUUUCGAUGGAGGAGCAAUCUCUGUCCAAGACUUUCUACGCUCGAUACAUUAAAGGGAACUUUACGAUCAGGCCGAGUUCCCCGCCAAGAUUGAUUGAAAAUGCCCGACUCGAAAUGCGAAACCAUCUCGGGAUUCCCUCUCACCUUACCUGUACCAUCAUUCUUGUCAUGCAAAUCGUGUAAACGGAUCGACAAAGGAAGAUGUUUCAAGAACCGACCAAACAUAAUCCACCAAUCUAUUAACGCCGAAUGGUGGACACUGAGAACACUGCACGUACUAUGUACUAACCUAGCCGAACGUGCCAUAAGUGUUAUUUCGAGAGCACACUGACGUCUAAUAGCAUUACCAGAGAAUCAGACGUGGGUGGCGCAGUAACCGCGACAGUCUCGUAAUCCUGAUUAAGCGCCGGGCUUGAAGAGCCGUGUUUCUUGAGGAUUGGCUGCGAGGUCGCUUGGUCCCUCAUGCUGGCGGUUCUUUGCGGUUUCGAGGGUGCCAACGAGCUGCGCACCUCACCUGUAACAUCCUCCGCUGCUGCAGGCACGUCCGCCAUCGUCAAGCGCCAUGGGUUAGUACCACAAGACACAAGGCAUAUCACAAAACAGGCUAGCUAGCGUACUAGCGUGCUAGGAGAGACGGAAUUAUCGUUCCCGGCUAAAACACUAGAGACGCGCUAGCACGUACAUACGUAUGUGUAUAUCUAUGCAGAAUGGACUGUUGUUGCGAGAGGACGAGGGCAAAGCGACAAAUCAGACACGUUGGUGAAUCACUCGAGGUCGUCGUAUCGACGAUUUCGGAUCGCUCUUCCGCUCGUCGGUGUUUCAAUCGUGAAUCAUUUUUCCGAUAAAACUCUUACGAAUACGACUACAGCGACUCCAUUUUUCUACAAUUAUUUUAUAUCCGAAAAAUUAAUCCAUCUUCGAGGUUUAAGUCAACUUUGUACCUGGCAGACCCAUUCUCGCGGCUCUAUUAUGAACAGCAUGUUCUUGGUGAAUGGAAACGGAGAAGAUAGGAAUACGAGAGAUCGAGGUUUCCAUCUAUGCAUAAUACCGAUGACGCGUAGUAAUUGACGCUGCGAAUUAGAUAUUGUGCUACAAAAAUCAGCAUCAACUUAUCGAACGAUCCAAUACUGUAUGAUAAUCGAAUAA